GACGAACGCUGGCGGCGUGCCUAACACAUGCAAGUCGAACGAGACCGUCGGGUCUAGGUGCGCAGGGCGAGGUAAGACGGGGUAACCAACCCGUGAGUACGGAAUACCUGACCGAGGGAGGUGCUAAUGCCACUGAAUGUAUUCGCACAAAAGAUUUCUCGCCGUUGGAUGGGGCCGUGUUGGAUUAGCGAGUUGGUAGGGGAAAAGCCUACCAAGGAGACGAUGCAGAGCUGGUCUGAUAGGAGGACAAGCCACAAUGGGACUGAGACACGGCCCAGACUCGGACGGGAGGGAGCAGUGUGGAAUAUUGGACACUGGGCGCAAGUCUGAUACAGCCACGUCGCGUGUGUGAUGAAGGCCGUAGGGUUGUAAAGCUGUUUGAGACGGGAUGAGAAUGACAGUACCGGGAGAAUAAGCACCGGCUAACUCCGUG
rnacentral:rRNA from 1 species